rnacentral:ncRNA from 1 species
CAUACAGGUUUGGUCCCAACCUUAAAAUCAACUCCCUCUUGACUUACACAUGCAAGUAUCCGCACCCCCGUGAAAACGCCCCCACCUCCACAUAGGAAUAAGGAGCUGAUAUCAGGCACUAUAUCUGCCCAAGACAUCUAGCCAUGCCACGCCCACAAGGGUUCUCAGCAGUGAUUAACAUUAAAAAUGAACGUCAGUUCGACUUAGCCAAGGAAAACAGAGCCGGCCAAUCUGGUGCCAGCCGCCGCGGUUACACCACGUGGCUCAAAUUGAUUUCAACACGGCGUAAAGCGUGAUUAAAGAAAUAAACUACUGGGGUUAAACUUAAACUAAACUGUAGCACGUUUGUUUAUAAGAAAGCCUUCUUCGAAAGAUACCCCAACUCACCAACUUGAACUCACGACAACUGAGACACAAACUGGGAUUAGAUACCCCACUAUGCUCAGUCAUAAACUUUAACUUACACCCCCAUCGCCAGGGAACUACGAGCAAAGCUUAAAACCCAAAGGACUUGACGGUACCCCACAUCCUUCUAGAGGAGCCUGUCCUAUAACCGAUACCCCCCGUUUAACCUCACCACUUUUAGUUUAUCAGCCUGUAUACUUCCGUCGCCAACUUACCGGUGAGCGAACAAGUAAGUUCAAUGAUGCCCACCAAUACGUCAGGUCAAAGUGCAGCAAAUAAAGUGGCAAGAGAUGGGCUACACUCUCUAAUAUAGAAGACACGAAAGACUACAUGAAACUGUACUCAGAAGGCGGAUUUAACAGUAAGGGGGAAAUAGAAUAUCCUCCUUAACUUGGCACUGGGGUGUGUACACACCGCCCGUCACCCUCUUCAACAAAGCCUACCUAGUAAUUAACUUCAACUACUAAAUAGAAGAGGUAAGUCGUAACUUGGUAAGUAUACCGGAAGGUGUGCUUGGAAA